rnacentral:tRNA from 1 species
UUUUCUUUGGUGUUUAAGCACUGUAGCAUUUGAAACUAUUAGAGACUAGUGAGUCAAGAAAAA